rnacentral:rRNA from 1 species
AAUCAACGCUGGCGGCGUGCCUCAGACAUGCAAGUCGAACGCGAAAGGCUCCGUUCGGGGGCCGAGUAGAGUGGCGCACGGGUGAGUAACACGUAGGUAAUUUGCCUUUGGGUGGGGAAUAACGUCAGGGAAACUUGAGCUAAUACCGCAUAAUGCAGCGGCUCGACAUCGAGACAGUUGUUAAAGCGGGGGAUCGCAAGACCUCGCGCCUGAAGAGAAGCCUGCGGCAGAUUAGCUAGUUGGUAGGGUAAUGGCCUACCAAGGCGACGAUCUGUAACCGGCCU